rnacentral:tRNA from 1 species
GCCGAGGUAGCUCAGCCGGUAGAGCGACGGACUGAAAAUCCGUGCGUCCCCAGUUCGAUUCUGGGCCUCGGCACCA